rnacentral:lncRNA from 1 species
CCCGGAUCCCCCCCGCGCGCAACGUGCGCAGGGCCGCGGGCGGCCGGCAGGGGGCGCGGGCGGGGCGCCUUCGGGAGCCGGAGCGCGGGGAAGGCCGGGCGGGCCAAGGCGGGCCCGCGGUUGCCCGGCCCAAGCCGGCCCAGAGCCGAGCGACGCCGCAGGUAAGGUCGUCACCUUGACCGGGAGGCGGGAGGCGGUUUGGCCGGGAGAGGCCCGCGCGGAGCCGCCGGAAUCGGGCAGGUGAGAGAGGAGCCGCUCCGGCGGCCCAGAGGCCGCAGCUCCCGCCCCGCCAUCGGGUUGGGCUAGAUGACCGCCGAGGCCCCCUCCGACUCUGUGAUUCGACGAGCAAAAGGCCCCCUGCGCGGAGAAAGCUCAGCCACAAGCCUUCGAUGAGCUGGCCUGGCCAGACCCAACUUCCAUCCAUCUGGCAUUGGCACAGGAUUGGCCUCAGGGAGUAGAUGGUGUCGUCCUCUCUCCGAUCCACUCCCCGGUUACCCGAAGGUGGAGCUUUCUGCCGGCCUCAACUUGGCGAUGUCGCUUCCUCUCUGCUAGGAUCCCAAGCACAUGGGAGAGCCCAAGCCGGCCGGCUGCAGGAGGGAACAGUGGGCCCUGGGCGUGCCAAAGAGGCUGGAAGCCAACCCAGCUGCAGCCCUGGGGUGGAGGCUUCUUUCGUGCCCUUUCCCAAAGGGUCUCCUUGCCCGAGCUGAAUGAGGAUGUCGCCAGCUAUGCUGGCCCUGUGAGAAGAAGGAGGCCGUUUUGUUUCCAAGUUUCCAAAUAUCCUGGGAGUUGCCAGCCCGUUUCUAGACGGGGCCCCCCCGGGAGAAGACCACAAACACAAGGAGAGGAAAUCUGAUCCCGGUGACUCACAGGGUGGGACAGAGAGAAGAAGGAGGAGGCAGCAAAAGGAAAGAAGGCGAAAGGAGAGGAGAAGAAGGUAAAAGGAGAGAAGGAGGAGGUGAAAGGAUAGAAGAAGGUGAAAGGAGAGAAGGAGGAAGCAAAAGGAGAGAAGGAGGCAAAAGGAAUGAAGAAGAAGUGAAAGAGGAAAAGAAGGCAAAAGGAGAGAAGAAGGUGAAAGGAGAGAAGAAGGAGGUGAAAGGAGAGAAGGAGGCAAAAGGAGAGAAAAAGAAGUAUAAGAGAAGAAGACAAAAGGAGAACAGAAGGUGAAAGGAGACAAGAAAGAGGUGAAAGGAGAGAAGGAGGCGAAAGGAGAGAAGGAGGCAAAAGGAGAGAAGUGAAAGAGGAGAAGAAGACAAAAGGAGAGAAGAAGGUGAAAGGAGAGGAGAAGAAGAAGGUGAAAGGAGAGAAGAAGAAGGAGGUGAAAGGAGAGAAGAAGAAGAAGGUGAAAGGAGUGAAGAAGAAGGAGGUGAAAGGAGGGAUUGCUCAGAAGAAGCCUCCUUGGCUAAGCAAGGGCGCUCCAGACCAGCGGAGAUCCUUGCUGGGCUCUCCGGACUCCAUCCUGGUUGCAAUUGAACUCCGUUCCGCCC